rnacentral:lncRNA from 1 species
AUGGAGCCGCUGUUGUUAACCAUGUUAACUUCUUCAGAGGAAAGGGAGGUGCUCCUGCUGUCUCCGCUUCUUACCGAGUUCCCAUUGAGGAGGAAGCCAGGGAAAAAUAGAACUCAGAGAGCGACAGCAAGAUGAAAUUUUCCCUUUAAGGUCAAAAGCGUGCCUGGAAAGUGUGCCCCUUGGGGAAUAUAUUUCAGUGACAGAAAAAAAAAAAAACAGAAAAAUGAAGCCUGUAGAAUUCUUGAACUUCCCAUAUGUGCUAGGUGCACCCUAGGAAGUGGGGAAGACAGGAAGAUUCGGGAAGCAUGGGCUGUGUCCUCCAGAAGCUUAAAACACAAGAUACCAUUUUAGACACAAGAUACAGAGCAUUAAAGAAGUUAAAUAGUGAAAAGAGACCAUUUCUCAGGACCACAAUGGAAGCACUGCUGCGUGCGGGCAGUCUAUGGCUAACUGACAAGUCACCACAGAGAGGAGGAGGCCAUGCGGGGCAGCUGGGAGCAGGUGUGCUCAGGCGAUCCCUCCCCUGGCAGGUAAGUGUCCCUCCUCUGUCUUCCUGGGAAACUGCACCUGGACUGAGCUUCGGGGAUAGGUUUCGACAGGGCCAAAAAACAGAAGAGCAGGAAAACAUUCCACAACGUUUCUAUCUGCAAAUCAAGCAAGCGCUUGGGCGAACAUCUUCCCAAGGCAGAGAUGAAGAAUGGAUUUCAGCUACAGAAGGCAGGAAUCCUUUGGACUUGGCCCUUUAUCAGUGGAAUGGACAGAGCAGCUCUCGGUGGGGUCUCUGUUGGGAAUGCCUGCUGAGACGGGACCAAGGACGGCUGCAGGAUGUGGUGUCUGUGCUCAGCGUCACCUCCUCCCAGGCUCCUGGGAAGCACCUGAGCAUCUCCUGACAAAGCCACCAUGAGCAAGACCCUCAGAGAAGGUAUGAAGAUGAGAGGCUGGUGUGAAGAGGCUGCUGUGAAGCAACUAUAUAGCAUCGGGCAGGACAUAAGGGGAAAUUGUUGCUUUCAUGUUCCUUUACCCCCACAGUUUGGAUUUCUGCCACAAGGAUCACUGUGGUCUUCCUCCCUGGGGCUCACUCCACCUACCCCACACCUCCCACCUCCCCCGUCCUCUCUUGGGGGACUUCCUGAGUUCUCGACAGAGCAGUUUCACUGUCUUCUCUCCACGCUUCCUGGACUGGCCCGCCCAUUUUUUUCUAUGACCCAGAAUUCCUUCCCAAAUAAGAGCGUCAUAUUCCUUGAGCCCCUUCACUAGAAGCAAGGAGAUGGGCAGGCGUUGAACUGCGGCUUUUCUCUAGACUCUUCCCUAAUCCCUAGGUUCCCCCAACUAUUUAGUCUAGAGCAAGCCCAGGAACAGUGAUUUUUUUUUUUUAACCUGCCAUUUCUGUUAUUCAAGCUGUUUUAGUCAGUUCAGGCUGCUGUAACAAAAAUGCAAUGGCCUGGGUGGUUUUAACAACAGAAAUGGAUUUCUCACAGUUCUUGUGAGGCUGGGACGCAGGAACCCCCACAUCCAAGUGCCAGGCAGUUCCGUGGCUGGGAGGGCUCCAGACUGGUGUGUGGAUGGCACCUUCUGCUGUGUCCUCACAUGGCUGAGAGAUGGGUCAUCUCUGUUCUUAUCAGGGCACUAAUCCCAUUCACAAGGCCCCCCAUGACCUAAUCACCUCCUAAAUGCCCCGCUUCCUAAUACCAGCACCUUGGAAAAUAGGGCUUCAAGAUACAAAUUUUGGGGGACUCAAACAUUCCAUCCAUAGCACCCGCUCAUGUGCUGUGAUGUCCAGUGAGCAGGCGGAGUUCCAGGGCUGGUCAGUGCCAGGUGCUCCUUCUCCCACCCGAGAACAGGGGCCAGGUUGCUCCUCAGGCACCCUGGGCAACUGCCCCUUCCCUUCCAGUGGGGCCUGACCUGGCUACCGAGCUUGGCAGCUAAUAGGCGGGCCCCUCAGCAUUCACGCUCCUGAGCUGCUUUAUCAAACUAGGAUUGUUCCCCCAGGUCUAAGAAAACCAUCCAUUCACUGCAAAGUUAUUUAUUACUGCGGAUGGGCUAGGAGUUAGAGGAAGAGAGUGACUCAAAUCACAACACCUCCUGGACGAAGCUGGAAGGGAUUAAAAUACGGCCUAAUUUCUCCCUUGCUGUGUGAAGCGUGUGGUUCUCCUAGAACAUCAGCCCGACUGUCGCUGGGUAGCGGCGGUACUGUUCAUUCUGCAUUAGCUUUGUCCAGAUUGUUCAGUGUGGGUCCCUGCCUACAGAUCUUGAUUCCUUGAGAUUGCCCUUUGUGCUUCUGUCUGGGGACUGCCUGUUUCUGUAAUGGCCACCGUCUCAGAACACAUGGUUGUAGGCCUCAGCAUUUGCCUUACACACAGCCCCCUUGGAGACAAACCGUGUCUGUGUCCCUCAGAAGGCCCUGACUUUCAGGGCACACUCCAGCCUGACUUUGGCACUCUGCUAGACACAUCCGAAACGCUGGUUCUCGUGUUGAAGUCUGUUAUGGAUAUGUAGGGUAAGGCAGGGAAACUGGAGCGCCUGCAUACCCUUGACUUCCUCCAUUUGGAAAAGAUAACCCUGAGACAUGGUGGAGGAGAAGGGGCCCUGACCUGUCAGCUACAUCUGGAUGUAACUCCCCUGAUGAAGAAAGUGCCAGAGGCAGCAAAGCAGCCCUUAUAGGGUAUUUUGUGCUCCCCCAACAGAGGAAGAGGAGCUUAGGGUCUCCAGGGAGAAUGUCUGGUUGUGAAGAGCCGCCAGGACCUGGAGCUGCACGGUUGCUCAGUGUGCAUUUCACUUGGUCAGCCCCUACGCUGGAGAGUGCUUGCAUCCGAACCUUCAGUGCCUGGAUAGACACUGAGCUGAGCGAACGGUAUGCUGGAAAAUGAAGCGUGCAAGUGACAAAGUGCUCAACUUAGACUCUGGGCAAAAUUCUCACAAAGGGCUUUCUAAUCCUCACUUAAUGGAAGAGUGGAGCAAUUUCCAGCAGAAGUUGUGGCUUGCUUCACCAGGUCUGCUCAGGUCAGCGGGGUGAGCCUACGGCCAGGAUGGGUGGUAAUUAAUAUUGGAAUACUUGGCCAGUCUGCAGACCUCAGACCACAAAAAACCCUCCAUCCUCAAGCAGUCUCUUCUUUAUGCCUCGCAAGGGGAAGAUAAUUAAAGACUGUGGUAACGGGUUAAUUUAUAGGAAAAUAAUGUAGCAUACUCAAC